rfam:Triticum aestivum genome assembly, contig: Triticum_aestivum_CS42_TGACv1_scaffold_642462_T_1DL-0.240043_7DL-0.157097
AAAGUGCUCCCUCCGUCCGGAAAUACUUGUCGAAGAAAUGGAUGAAAAUGGAUGUAUCUAGAACUAAAAUACGCCUAGAUACAUCCAUUUCUCCGACAAGUAUUUCCGGACAGAGGAAGUAAUUU